rnacentral:rRNA from 1 species
GAUGAACGCUGGCGGCGUGCCUAAUAUAUGCAAGUCGAGCGAACGGACGAGAAGCUUGCUUCUCUGAUGUUAGCGGCGGACGGGUGAGUAACACGUGGAUAACAUACCUAUAAGACUGGGAUAACUUCGGGAAACCGUAGCUAAUACCGGAUAAUAUUUUGAACCGCAUGGUUCAAAAGUGAAAGACGGUCUUGCUGUCACUUAUAGAUGGAUCCGCGCUGCAUUAGCUAGUUGGUAAGGUAACGGCUUACCAAGGCAACGAUGCAUAGCCGACCUGAGAGGGUGAUCGGCCACACUGGAACUGAGACACGGUCCAGACUCCUACGGGAGGCAGCAGUAGGGAAUCUUCCGCAAUGGGCGAAAGCCUGACGGAGCAACGCCGCGUGAGUGAUGAAGGUCUUCGGAUCGUAAAACUCUGUUAUUAGGGAAGAACAUAUGUGUAAGUAACUGUGCACAUCUUGACGGUACCUAAUCAGAAAGCCACGGCUAACUACGUG